GAGGUACCUUCAAGCCCGAUAGCUAUUCACUAUCGGGUUUUAUUCCCCCUGACAGAGGUUUACAACCACUAGGGCCGUCAUCCCUCACGCGGCGUCGCUCGGUCAGGCUUUCGCCCAUUGCCGAAGCUUCUCG
rnacentral:rRNA from 1 species